CCCUUAGAUGUUCUGGGCCGCACGCGCGCUACACUGACGAUGUCAGAGAGUGUCUCCUUCACCGAGAGGUGUGGGUAAUCUUUUAAACAUCGUCGUGCUGGGGAUAGAUCAUUGCAAUUUUUGAUCUUAAACGAGGAAUUCCUAGUAAGCGCGAGUCAUAAGCUCGCGUUGAUUACGUCCCUGCCCUUUGUACACACCGCCCGUCGCUACUACCGAUUGAACGGUUUAGUGAGGGCCUCGGAUUGGUCUCGGCCCGCUCUUUACCGGGCGGCGCCGUUGGUCGAGAAGACGCUCGAACUUGAUCGUUUAGAGGAAGUAAAAGUCGUAACA
rnacentral:rRNA from 1 species